UACGUAGGGUGCUAGCGUUGUCCGGAUUUAUUGGGCGUAAAGAGCUCGUAGGCGGUUUGUCGCGUCUGCUGUGAAAACCUGAGGCUCAACCUCGGGCUUGCAGUGGGUACGGGCAGACUAGAGUGCGGUAGGGGUGACUGGAAUUCCUGGUGUAGCGGUGGAAUGCGCAGAUAUCAGGAGGAACACCGAUGGCGAAGGCAGGUCACUGGGCCGCAACUGACGCUGAGGAGCGAAAGCAUGGGGAGCGAACAGG
rnacentral:rRNA from 1 species